GCAAGUCGAGCGGUAACAGGAAUUAGCUUUCUAAUUUGCUGACGAGCGGCGGACGGGUGAGUAAUGCCUGGGAAUAUGCCUUAGUGUGGGGGAUAACUAUUGGAAACGAUAGCUAAUACCGCAUAACGUCUUCGGACCAAAGAGGGGGACCUUCGGGCCUCUCGCGCUAAGAUAAGCCUAGGUGGGAUUAGCUAGUUGGUGAGGUAAAGGCUCACCAAGGCAACGAUCCCUAGCUGGUCUGAGAGGAUGAUC
rnacentral:rRNA from 1 species